rnacentral:rRNA from 1 species
GGGGGAAGGGGUAUAUUAUAGUGAUUACUUUUUGACUGAACAUUAAACCGAUUUGUUUUCUGAUGCUCUUUACCGGGUACA